rnacentral:rRNA from 1 species
UACGGAGGGUGCGAGCGUUGUCCGGAAUCACUGGGCGUAAAGGGCGCGUAGGUGGCCUGUGGAAGUCUGCGGUGAAAGCCCGGCGCUCAACGCCGGGUCGGCCGUGGAUACUCUCGGGCUCGAGCUCACUAGAGGCAGAUGGAAUUCCGGGUGUAGCGGUGGAAUGCGUAGAGAUCGGGAAGAACAUCAGUGGCGAAGGCGGUCUGCUGGGCCGUUGCUGACGCUGAGGCGCGACAGCGUGGGGAGCAAACAGG